rnacentral:rRNA from 1 species
CCUACGGGAGGCAGCAGUGGGGAAUAUUGGGCAAUGGAGGAAACUCUGACCCAGCAACGCCGCGUGAAUGAUGAAGGUCUUCGGAUUGUAAAGUUCUUUUCUAAGGGAAGAAGAAAGUGACGGUACCUUAGGAAUAAGCCUCGGCUAACUACGUGCAAGCAGCAGCGGUAAUACGUAGGAGGCAAGCGUUAUCCGGAAUGACUGGGCGUAAAGGGGGCGUAGGUGGUUUGACAAGUUGGUAGCGUAAUUCCGGGGCUCAACCUCGGCAAUACUACCAAAACUGUCGGACUUGAGUGCAGGAGGGGCAAAUGGAAUUCCUAGGGUAGCGGUGGAAUGCGUAGAGAUUAGGAGGAACACCAGUGGCGAAGGCGAUUUGCUGGACUGUAACUGACACUGAGGCACGAAAGCGUGGGGAGCAAACAGGAUUAGAUACCCCUGUAGUC